GUUAAAGGCGGCGUGGCUAUUCCUUUCGAGAAACCGAAGAUGUUCGCUAAGGACGCAGAAAUUAAUAUUGGUGCGGUGUUGAAGAAACUUUCUGUCGUUUUAUGACAGUGGAUUUCUCGGGAAGAAUGUUCCUUUCAUGCAUUUGAAGGAAUUAGUAGAUCAGAUGAUAAGUUUGUUGGCCGAAAACAGGUUGCAGUAUUUGCAUCAGGCUGCAGCGUAUUACAGAGUGAUCAAUAACAUCAUGGUGAAAAUUAUUGACAAUUCUAAUCAUACCACCAUUAUAUGUGUAUUGAUCAAGCUGCUUCAUUCCUGCGCUGAAUCAAAUGUUUCCUCG